GGGAUACUUAGCUCUAAAGUGCAAGAGCUUAACUAUAAGCACCUGACCGGAUGGUACAGAACCCCUUGCCAGACUGCAUGCCAUGGGGAUUACGCAGUCCAAUAUGUGUUGGCGCUGCGGCGCAGAUGAGGGAACAGACCUUCACAUCUGGUGGUUGUGCCCGCUGAUAGCGCCCUUUUGGAGACAGAUCCAUAACAAACUCAUUGAUAUAUUGGACUUGGAUAUGCCCUUCGAACCACUCCCCAUGCUUCUUAAUCACACACAGACGUCGCUAG